CCUGACUGCUAUCGGAUUGAUACUAAGCCAUGUGAGUCAUUGUAGCAAUACAAGGCAGACGGCUCAGUAACACGUAGUCAAUCUACCCUAUGGACGGGGAUAACCUCGGGAAACUGAGGAUAACACCCGAUAGAUCAUAAUUCCUGGAAUGGUUUAUGGUCCAAACGAUUCGUCGCCGUAGGAUGGGACUGCGGCCUAUCAGCUUGUUGGUGAGGUAAUGGCCCACCAAGGCUAUUACAGGUACGGGCUCUGAGAGGAGAAGCCCGGAGAUGGGUACUGAGACACGGACCCAGGCCCUAUGGGGCGCAGCAGGCGAGAAACCUUUGCAAUGUGCGCAAGCACGACAAGGUUAAUCCGAGUGUUUCCUGCUAAAGGAAUCUUUUGUUAGUUGUAAAACCACUAUCGAAUAAGGGGUGGGCAAGUUCUGGUGUCAGCCGCCGCGGUAAAACCAGCACCUCAAGUGGUCAGGAGGAUUAUUGGGCCUAAAGCAUCCGUAGCCUGUUCUAUAAGUUUCCGGUUAAAUCCACUAGCUCAACUAGUGGGCUGCCGAAAAUACUGUAGAACUAGGGAGUGGGAGAGGUAGACGGUAUUCGGUAGGAAGGGGUAAAAUCCUUUGAUCUAUUGAGGACCACCUGUGGCGAAGGCGGUCUACCAGAACACGUUCGACGGUGAGGGAUGAAAGCUGGGGGAGCAAACCGGAUUAGAUACCCGGGUAGUCCCAGCUGUAAACGAUGCAGACUCGGUGAUGCCCUGGCUUGUGGCCAGUGCAGUGCCGCAGGGAAGCCGUUAAGUUUGCCGCCUGGGAAGUACGUACGCAAGUAUGAAACUUAAAGGAAUUGGCGGGGAGCACCACAAGGGUGAAGCCUGCGGUUC
rnacentral:rRNA from 1 species